AUUGUGUGUUCAUUUUUAAUUGAUUUUCGUAGACGUAUUUUCUCACACCAUAUAAACCGACACUACGAGUACUAGAUGUACGAUAAACAAGGCUAAACACUGCGAUCCAACCAUCACUUCAUUUAACAUACUCGCAUUAUUUUAAUACCGGUCAUAAUGCCAGGCGGUCAGCUUGUAAUUUAUUCCAAGCAACACAAAACAAUUAUAAUAUAAUUAGAACAUUGCCACA